UCUGCAAACUAAAGAUGGCGACCGGCGCACGGGUGAGUAACACGUAUCCAACCUGCCGAUAACUCGGGGAUAGCCUUUCGAAAGAAAGAUUAAUAUCCGAUAGUAUAUUAAAACCGCAUGGUUUUACUAUUAAAGAAUUUCGGUUAUCGAUGGGGAUGCGUUCCAUUAGUUUGUUGGCGGGGUAACGGCCCACCAAGACUACGAUGGAUAGGGGUUCUGAGAGGAAGGUCCCCCACAUUGGAACUGAGACACGGUCCAA
rnacentral:rRNA from 1 species